rnacentral:rRNA from 1 species
UACGUAGGGCGCAAGCGUUUGUCCGGAAUUAUUGGGCGUAAAGAGCUCGUAGGCGGUCCGUCACGUCUGCCGUGAAAACCCGAGGCUUAACCUCGGGCCUGCGGUGGAUACGGGCGAACUAGAGGUAGGUAGGGGAGAACGGAAUUCCCGGUGUAGCGGUGAAAUGCGCAGAUAUCGGGAGGAACACCGGUGGCGAAGGCGGUUCUCUGGGCCUUACCUGACGCUGAGGAGCGAAAGCGUGGGGAGCGAACAGGAUUGAGAAACC